AUGGUCUCAGCCAUCUUCAGCCCCAGGAGUACCAAUCUGAAGGAAAAUAUGAUGAUCAAGCUUAAGGCAUUGUAUACCUUAGUAGAGCAGCUGUACUCCGGGUCACAACGUGCGUUGGCCGUUGUGGCCUUAUCAAAUACCACUCCUCGGCUCCUACAAGAUGUGUUGAGGCAUCUUUCGGUGCUAGCUCAACGAAUUCAGGACUUAAGGCGGGCAUCUGCAAGAGCCGGAGCUGUGGCUGCAUUGAGUCAGGCAAGAGCAUGGGUGACGGAACUUGACCUUGCUGAUCUCUCUCUCGGAUAUCCAAGCCUUAAGGAGGACAACACUGCUUUUGACGAACAAGACUUCACUGCCUGGGUUAAAGUCGUACGUCCCCUGGCGACUCUCAGUGGGAAUGAUACUGAUCUCACUAAGUAUUCGCCGGGUCACGAUAGCGAGAACCGGAGAAUCCCAAACGCCCCAUAUGACCAAGUCAGCCUGAUCCCUCCAAUGCUUAAGCAUACCUUUGCCCCUGAAGUGGAUCCGGCCAGCUUAAUAGAUAAUGAGGCUGAAUUUGAAGCUUUGAGCGGCAUUGACUGGGCCUCGUCCACCUUCCAGGACAAAACAAACAAAGGAGAGGCGGGGAAGGAUAACCCGGAGUCAUCAAGCCAGCCGGAGGAAUGA
rnacentral:rRNA from 1 species